rnacentral:rRNA from 1 species
UGGGGAAUUUUGGACAAUGGGGGAAACCCUGAUCCAGCCAUCCCGCGUGUGCGAUGAAGGCCUUCGGGUUGUAAAGCACUUUUGGCAGGAAAGAAACGUCGCGGGUUAAUACCCCGCGAAACUGACGGUACCUGCAGAAUAAGCACCGGCUAACUACGUGCCAGCAGCCGCGGUAAUACGUAGGGUGCAAGCGUUAAUCGGAAUUACUGGGCGUAAAGCGUGCGCAGGCGGUUCGGAAAGAAAGAUGUGAAAUCCCAGAGCUUAACUUUGGAACUGCAUUUUUAACUACCGGGCUAGAGUGUGUCAGAGGGAGGUGGAAUUCCGCGUGUAGCAGCGAAAUGCGUAGAUAUGCGGAGGAACACCGAUGGCGAAGGCAGCCUCCUGGGAUAACACUGACGCUCAUGCACGAAAGCGUGGGGAGCAAACAGGAUUAGAUACCCUGGUAGUCCACGCCCUAAACGAUGUCAACUAGCUGUUGGGGGCCUUCGGGCCUUGGUAGCGCAGCUAACGCGUGAAGUUGACCGCCUGGGGGAGUACGGUCGCAAGAUU